GGGGGUAUAGCUCAGUUCGCAGAGUUUGUGCCUCCCAUGCACAAGGCCCUGGGUUCAAUCCCCAGCACUCCCC
rfam:Ictidomys tridecemlineatus contig097009, whole genome shotgun sequence.